UACUCAACAGGACCGAACCGAGCUGAUGAUGAUGAGGGGUCAGAAUGGCUACAUAGGAGUGACAACUUCAUCAGAGAUUUAUGUUGUGGGCAAGGGAUCGAAGCCCUCGGGUGUGGGAACAACCUGAAUUCACACGAGAUGAAUAUUGUGCAUGCGGGCGGUAACCAAGAUGACAAUCUUUCGACCAAAAAGAAUGUUGCUGAGUUAUUUGUUAAUCCACAUGAGAAUUGUGCCGUAAAUGAGGGGGAAAUUGCAGG